rnacentral:rRNA from 1 species
CUACGGGGGGCUGCAGUGAGGAAUAUUGCACAAUGGGGGGAACCCUGAUGCAGCAACGCCGCGUGGAGGAUGACGCAUUUCGGUGUGUAAACUCCUUUUAUAUGUCAAGAAAAUGACGGUAGCAUAUGAAUAAGCACCGGCUAACUCCGUGCCAGCAGCCGCGGUAAUACGGAGGGUGCAAGCGUUACUCGGAAUCACUGGGCGUAAAGGACGCGUAGGCGGGUUGGAAAGUCAGGUGUGAAAUCCUACAGCUUAACUGUAGAACUGCACUUGAAACUUCUAAGCUAGAGUAUGGGAGGGGGAGGUGGAAUUAGUGGUGUAGGGGUAAAAUCCGUAGAUAUCACUAGGAAUACCUAAAGCGAAGGCGAUCUCCUGGAACAUUACUGACGCUAAGGCGUGAAAGCGUGGGGAGCAAACAGGAUUAGAUCCCUAGUAGUC